CCUACGGGUGGCAGCAGUGGGGAAUAUUGCGCAAUGGGCGCAAGCCUGACGCAGCGACGCCGCGUGAGGGAUGAAGGUCUUCGGAUCGUAAACCUCUGUCAGCAGGGAAGAACGGUCACUGUGCUAAUCAGCAGUGAAUUGACGGUACCUGCAAAGGAAGCACCGGCUAACUCCGUGCCAGCAGCCGCGGUAAUACGGAGGGGGCGAGCGUUAAUCGGAAUUACUGGGCGUAAAGCGCUCGUAGGCGGUAUGUCAAGUCAAGGGUGAAAUCCCCGCGCUCAACGUGGGAACUGCCUUUGAAACUGGGGAACUGGAGUGUGUGAGAGGAUAGUGGAAUUCCAGGUGUAGGAGUGAAAUGCGUAGAUAUCUGGAGGAACAGCAGUGGCGAAGGCGGCUAUCUGGCACAUAACUGACGCUGAGGAGCGAAAGCGUGGGGAGCAAACAGGAUUAGAUACCCGUGUAGUC
rnacentral:rRNA from 1 species